rnacentral:rRNA from 1 species
UACGAAGGGGGCUAGCGUUGCUCGGAAUCACUGGGCGUAAAGCGCACGUAGGCGGAUUGUUAAGUCAGGGGUGAAAUCCUGGAGCUCAACUCCAGAACUGCCUUUGAUACUGAGAGCCUUGAGUUCGGGAGAGGUGAGUGGAACUGCGAGUGUAGAGGUGAAAUUCGUAGAUAUUCGCAAGAACACCAGUGGCGAAGGCGGCUCACUGGCCCGAUACUGACGCUGAGGUGCGAAAGCGUGGGGAGCAAACAGG